UCCAGAAAUCCAUAAGAGAUAUUUUACACCUAAACUAACAGCUUUUUUCCAUAAGUUGCAAAGAAUUCGCUUCUUCAGGAGUGAAUCCCAAUUGAAGCCCUGAUUUCAGCAGACAGUGUACAAAAGCGGAGCCAAUUGCAGACCCAAGUCGUUGAGUCCAAAUGUCAGACAUAAUACCUUUGGCUGAACAAAAACGUCGGCCCUUUGACGAAGAUCUCAGUGGGGGUAACCGAUAGCCGUAAAACGACCCAAGACUUCAGCCGUUGAGCGUAGAAAUUGACAAACUUUAACCGAUAGUAGUUGAGAAAGCUAACCGUAAGAAAAAUUUCAGGUAACAACGAUAGAAUAAUAGUAAUUGUCAUCCUUAAAAUGGCCAAGAUUCUAACCGUUAGCCGCCAAAGCCAACACCCCAUUGGGACUCUCUUUAACUCAGUAGCCCCUCUCUCUCUCUCUCUCUCUCUCUCUCUCUCUCUCUCUCUCUCUCUCUCUUUCCCAUCCAUAACGUGGAUCAAAUCAUAUCUGUUUCUCAAGGCUCUUAUUAGCACUCCAUUCGUUCUUGGGCGUCGCCCUCGCAAUUACACAUGGCGUGUAGUAUUGUUGUUUUAUCCAUUAUUAAAGGCGUUCCCAUGUAUUCUCCGUGCUUCGAUGAGCGAGGUGUAUACAUUCAUAGUGUAAAUACCUGUCCAAAGUUUCUUUGUGGAAGAGAAAGAACAUGCCUACCGUCUCUCCUCCUUUCAUAGUAGAAUGCUGAUGGAUGGUCCGCAAGGUAAUUUGAAUUGCAGAUUUGUUUAGACUCGUUUCGCAUUAAUUUUAUUUGUACUAGGAUGAUUGCACGUGGAGCUUCGUAGAACUUCGCUUGGUCGUUUGGUCUUGGGGUGCUAACUUCGAAUAGCAGUUUUCGGCCGGAUAAAUUCUUGGCUUACAUGUGUAGGGAACCCUUACUCCUAAAGUUUGGUUUGGCUGUGCAACGUUCCUGGCACGUGGAUUACAGCCGGCAACGGCAAACCGAGACGUCUUCUACGUUUUCUUUGAGCCACGCAAUCACAAAACAUGAAGGGAUUACAAAGGACCGUUAAAUAGAUCAAGGUCGUAAAGAGAUAUCAUAGUCAGUACAGAUUUGAAAGUUGUUGCCAGGAGUUUCGAUAGAAGAUGAUGACAAAAGAUUCAAAUAAUCGAUGACUAAAAUAAAUGUAAUCAAAGAUCGUACCGGAUAUUCAAAUAUUCAUCCGUUUGAAAAUUACUUCUAAAGAAGCAACGUAUGCGCUUUUAAAAGGGCCCAUGGAAUUUGGAAAAAAACUAAGUCUUCUUGCGCGAAAAAUUUAACUUGAGGUGCCGAUGAAAUAAGAUAAAAAAAUGAAGUCUUUUGGCGGGAAAUUUUGGUCUAUGGAAAAAAAAAAAUUUGCCUUUUGAAUUGUGUCCGAUGUUGAUCCAAAUGUAUACGAAGUGUUUUGAUGGGAAAAAUCGUUCAUUGUGCAAAUGAUUUUCUCCUAUCAAAAGUGAAGUUUAUAAUUUUUUUAACAAUGGACGCAGAAUUUUUUCCUCUCGUCAACCCUCCAUACGCAAAAAAAAGUAAAAGAGCCUAUAUUUUGACUUGUUAUCAGGCCCUUUUAAAAGCGCGGAUUUUUUUCUUUAUUUAUAUACAUUCUAAAGAGACAAAUAAAAGUUGAGAAAAAGACAAGAUUGUAAAUGAAGUUUAUUAGUCUGCAAGUUUAUUCACAUAAAGCAAUUAAAAUAUUUACUACAGCUAACAAGCGUAACCGAACAUUACAGAACCACUUCAAAUAAUAAAGAGUAAAAGUAAAAAGUAAGACAAACUUGCUGAUUUACAACGUGCUUGACAAGAAUUUUUGAGAAAGAAAAUAAGUAAACAAUAAAUUAACUACUUUAAAUGUACGAUAAUUCGCAAAGUCUGAUCCGUACCUUGACCAAUAAAAAAAUUUUGUGAAUUCGUACCGAAAAAUUUUAAAAUAAAACAUCCA